UGUGGCUUGGAUUUGGGGGUUACAGGCCUAGUCUGCUCCCCUGAAAUACAUGAGUGGUAAUGACCUCUCCAUUAAGAUGUGAUACAUAUCUGCAUCUGGUCGAGGGUUCUGCUGCUAUAUAAGAGUUGGAUUUGAUAAACUUGACCUCAAA
rnacentral:rRNA from 1 species